UACGUAGGGUCCAAGCGUUAAUCGGAAUUACUGGGCGUAAAGCGUGCGCAGGCGGUUUUGUAAGCCAGAUGUGAAAUCCCCGGGCUUAACCUGGGAAUGGCAUUUGGGACUGCAAGGCUGGAGUUUGGCAGAGGAGACUGGAAUUCCCGGUGUAGCAGUGAAAUGCGUAGAUAUCGGGAGGAAUACCGAUGGCGAAGGCAGGUCUCUGGGCUAUAACUGACGCUCAUGCACGAAAGCGUGGGGAGCAAACAGG
rnacentral:rRNA from 1 species